AGCGAACGCUGGCGGCAGGCUUAACACAUGCAAGUCGAGCGGGCCCUUCGGGGUCAGCGGCAGACGGGUGAGUAACACGUGGGAACGUACCCUUUGGUUCGGAAUAACGCUGGGAAACUAGCGCUAAUACCGGAUACGCCCUUUUGGGGAAAGGCUUGCUGCCGAAGGAUCGGCCCGCGUCUGAUUAGCUAGUUGGUGGGGUAAUGGCCUACCAAGGCGACGAUCAGUAGCUGGUCUGAGAGGAUGAUCAGCCACACCGGGACUGAGACACGGCCCAGACUCCUACGGGAGGCAGCAGUGGGGAAUAUUGGACAAUGGGCGCAAGCCUGAUCCAGCCAUGCCGCGUGAGUGAUGAAGGCCUUAGGGUUGUAAAGCUCUUUUGUCCGGGACGAUAAUGACGGUACCGGAAGAAUAAGCCCCGGCUAACUUCGUG
rnacentral:rRNA from 1 species